AUAUAUAUAUUCAAAUAAAUAAGCAUUAUCAUGGUCCUCCAGGUGAACUCAUAGCGAGGUCGUCGUCAGGUUUUGGUUGUGUGUCUGUGCUGGCACACUGACCUGUUAAGAUGCUUCAGUUUCUUUGGUGGCACCAGCUUCCAAUUCCGAAUCUCUGGAAGAGAAAGAGGAGAUGAGAGCUAAUCUGAGCCACAUGACACCACAACACAAACCUCAGGGAGCGACAGCAGCACAGGCAGCUAACAGAUCUGUCUUUAUGGAGGCUAACAGCAGCUUCCACGGCUACAUGUCAGAGGGCUGCGCAGGUGUGUGCGUGUGCUGCACCCGAGAUGUGUUGAGGGAGCAGAGGCAGCCACACCUCCGUCACCUCCUGGAGCAUCCAGGCCAGCUGGGAGACCAUUGAGCAAGGCGGCUCCAUGCGGGGCCUGUGCCCAGCCGACCGGGCUGCACCUCCUCAGCUGGCUGCUGGCAGGAGGACUCUCUGUGAUCAUUCUAUAAAGCUAAUCUAAUUAAUGUUGCCUGUUCAGCUGCAGUGUUAUUUUAAUCCUUCCUAAUAUUCCUUUAUUUGUCAUUGUGUUGUUGUAACAGUCAACUACCAAUAAACAUAUACAACAGAGGGG
rnacentral:lncRNA from 1 species